rnacentral:tRNA from 1 species
CGGAAUGUCGCAUAGCCUGGUAUUGCGCCUGCUUUGGGAGUAGGUUUUCGCAUGUUCAAAUCAUGCCAUUCCGA